AAAGAAAAAUACAUAUUAUCAUACGUACUAUUUUAUCUUGUCUAAUAUGAUUCUACGUCAUACACACCUAUGAUGGCAUGCAAAUAUCACAAAAAUUUGGGAAAAAAAAUAAUUGAAUGGUGGAUAUAUAAAAGUUUGAUAAAUUCCAAAAUCAUGCAAAAAUACAAGAGAUCCGAAUUAUGAGAUAAAAUCGAUUUCGAAAUUUUUGAUAAAUUCCGAUUUUCGAAUUAGAACUAUAAUUUGAUUUCGAAAAUUUUUAAAUUAAAAUUGGAAUUCUUGUUUCCGAUCUGAUACCACCUAAAAUCAGUGCCAUGCAUGAAAUCUAUGACAAAAGUGGAGAGUCCGCGAAAAUAAAACGAACGAGGAGAAAAAUCACCGUGGGCGUGGCCUGUUUUACCAAAACCUCACCCAACCCACGUGAUACUGGGCAGGUCACUACCCGACCCACCCAAACGCUAACCGGGCCGAUCACCUCCUCCAUCCAAGUCCGAAAGGUCCGAAACCCUAACUACCAGCACGUGCGAGGGCGCCUCCUUCUUCGAUAGAGUCACGUGCCGGAAACAACCGCACACAGACUCCAAAUCGUGAUAGCUGGAAGAAGAGAAAUGAUACAGAAAGAACAGAACAGAGAUAGAAACCCUAGCUCCCUCCCCAGUUUUCCCACCCCCAAAUUUCCCACCUAUCCCAAUUUUCCAUGCAUUUCAGCUCGUGUUUGAGUUUUACAGAGUAACAAAUGCGACAUACCUACGUGGUUUGUGGUGAACUGAAGUUCGAUCUUGUCCUUCGAAAGCAUGAAGGGGGUUCCCAUAACUCCUGCAUUGUUACUUAUGAAAGGACAAGCUAUUAUUACCUGAGGUGGAUUAUCUCUCCAUUUCUUACAUUAAGAUGUUAAGAGGAAGACCGGCGGAAUUGAAAUCCGAUGCGAAUUUCCUAACAGAUGAUAACGAACUCAGAUCCAAUUCCAUGGCAUCAACUUUGGCACUGGGGAUUGCCUUCACUAUUUUUUCUCUUGCAUCUUUACCGGCGGCCAUGUUCCUCACUGCCAUAACCACAUGGGCGCCACGCAGUGCAAGAACGCGUGCAGUUUCGGUGCCAAUACCACUAGAUGCUCCUG